rnacentral:rRNA from 1 species
GAUGAACGCUAGCGGCAGGCUUAACACAUGCAAGUCGAGGGGCAGCAUGAGACGGAGAUUCGUCGAAGUCUUGAUGGCGACCGGCGCACGGGUGCGUAACGCGUAUCCAACCUUCCCGUUACUCUUGGAUAGCCUUCCGAAAGGGAGAUUAAUACAAGAUGGUAUUCAAAUUCCGCAUGUUAUUUGAAUUAAAGAUUUAUCGGUAACGGAUGGGGAUGCGUGACAUUAGGUAGAUGGCGGGGUAACGGCCCACCAUGCCUACGAUGUCUAGGGGUUCUGAGAGGAAGGUCCCCCACACUGGAACUGAGACACGGUCCAGACUCCUACGGGAGGCAGCAGUGAGGAAUAUUGGACAAUGGAUGGAAAUCUGAUCCAGCCAUGCCGCGUGAAGGAUUACAGUCCUAUGGAUUUUAAACUCUUUUGUAUGGGAGCAAUAAGGGUCACGCGUGAUCUGAUGAGAGUACCAUACGAAUAAGC